rnacentral:lncRNA from 1 species
AGACACAGAUCCACUAGAUCUAAUGUAUAACUCAGGCCUACGUGACCCCUGGUGUUCAUCCAAAGGUGUCCAUGUCAAUGCAUCACAGGGAUAGCGUAUCCAUGUUUACUGCAACACUGUUCAUAACAGACAAGAUGCUGAGCCAGCCUAGCUGUCCAGCAAGAGAGAAAAAGAUAGAGAAAAUGUGGUUUUUAUACACAACGGAAUGCUUUUCAGCCAUAGGAAUGAAGUCAUGUCAUUUGCAAGAAACUGGAUGCAACUGGAAACAAUAAUAUUAAGCAAAUUAAGCCAAUAUGGAAAAAAGCUUCUCUCUGGAUUGUGAUUCCUAUGGGUUUUUUUUUCCUUCUUAUAUCUCUUUAUUUUUUUUUAAAUCUUAAACUCCAGAUUUUAUUCCCCUCCCAUGUUCCUAUGUUUUAUAUAGUCACAGGGAAUGAGGUAUGUAUAUAUUAAAUAAAAGGGGAAGUGAGAUUGUCAAAGGGAACAAAGGGGCUGAGGGUAGGAAAAUGGGGGAAAUGCAGAGAAUGUUCAACAAAUGCAUGGAAGAAAUCUAAAUGUAAAAUAAUGGUCUUUGCAAUGGAGACCUUGUAGCAGCUUAGCGUGCCAUCAGGAAGCAGUGACAUAUGUUUUGAUAGUGGGCACAAAGUUAAGGUGUGCAUAUGCUAGAAACAUACAAGAAAUCUGAAACUGAGAGAGAGUUUUGGGACUCCAGAUAAAACUCCCAGGACCCACUUAAGGUAGACAAGGUGGGGCUAGGGAUGUGGUAGUGUAUGUGUGUGUGGGUGAGCACGCGUCCAUGCUCAUAUACAUUUCCCCGUGUGUGUGUGUGUGUGUGUGUGUGUGUGUGCGCGCGCGCGCGUGUGUGUGCAGAUACAGAAGCCUAUACAGAACCCUGAGGUUGGUGACAGCAUUCUCCCUCCACCUUGCCCAUUGAGUCAGGGUCUCCCAAUUGAACCCAAUGCUCAUGGAUGUGGAUAAUCUAACUAAUUAUCCUGCUCCAAGGAUCCUGUCUCUGCCUUCUGAGAACUAGAAUUACAGAGGGCCGACACACCCACCCUGCACUAAACCCAAGCCCUCGUGCUCCCUCCCGAGGCAUUUCCUCUAUGCAGUGAAGCAUCCCCCAAUCCCGCAUUGCUCCUUUAUUUUUCGGUAAUACCUGUGACUCUUUAGAGGACUGACUAACCUCAGGCUGACGGAGCUCAUUUAGCCGUGGUCAUAAACAGCCACACGUGCCAGGACCUGACAGCAACCUCAGGCUGCUGGUGCUGAGGCAGCAAAGCCCAGCACACAAUGCAGGCAAUCACCGAGGUGCCGUCUCGCUCUGGGAUUUGUAACACACACACACACACACACACACACACACACACACUGUAUCCUCCCUCCUUUUUACGACUGUCCUUCCUGGAGACAUUUCAUACAGGUUAGGUUUCUUCAUUCAUUUGCUUGUCUUUUGUGUGGGUCUUUGGUUCUUUAUGACUCCCAUGUCAGAGUCGGCUUCUGAGUACCCGAGCCUAAAGCACAUCUCUCUCCCCAGGCUUAUUUUAUUCCAACAGACGCAUCGAAAAACCUGACCAAUCAAAAUGGCUUUGGGGGCGGGAGAGGGGAGUAGGUUGUGUGUGACUUCAAUUUUUCCCCCCAAAUGAUGCUAUUUGGUGUGUUUCGCCUUUGUACUAUGGCCUGGAGGUCUGGAAGUCUAACCUGUUGAUAUUUAGCCUGUGAGGUUUGACAAGAACCCAAUCUGGUUAAGUCUGAAGUUUUUGAUCAAUUAUUGCUUUCUUUUCUCACAAACUGUUUAUACUUGAAAUAGUGCUGUGUUUGUGCAACCUUUCUUUUGAGCUUUUAAGGAAACAAACUCUGUUUUUAAAAUUUCACCCCCUGAGCAUAAGGACUGAAAUACGCCGCUGCUAUAAUUUCUAACGCUUUGCUCCGUGUGUUUGUCUCCGUAAUCAUAAGCAAGACGCAUCUCCCAGUUUCCUCUGCUGUGUGAUCUUUGUCAGGUUUGGAUAUUGGACGUUUGCUAGAAUUUUUCUAAAAUAAACAGAGAGCCUGCAUUCUUUCUGGUAGUCUGAAGGCGUGUAGCUGAUAUGGCUUCAACACUGGGCAAUGGGAAAGACAGCCUUACUGGGUGCUCAGUUUUAUGCUACACACUUCGCUCGGCACUAGUUUUGUGGGUUUUUUUUUUUAACACGUUUCAGCCCCACAAUAACUCAUGUCCACUUGUGAGCUUUGUUUUCCUGAGGAGGAAACCAAGGCUUAAAGCAAGGCACAGCUGCCAAAACUGGGUACUGGGAUCCAGGCACUGAGGAGCUGACUUCAGAGGUCUCUGAUGCAUCUUCUUUGCAUAAAGAGGCUAAUUUGCAUGUCUGAUGGUCCUGCUGGCUGCCCACCUGGCUUGUAGCAGUUACCCUCUGGAGAGCCAGGUGCUUAGUGAAUGACAUCUUUCAGAUUACGUCAUCCCCCAUUUUCCUUGUGUAGGGGGUAGCAGACAGGAAGCACUGAUGAAUUUUCUGGGGCAGCUGUGUUUUGUCUAAACAAGACUCUCUUUAGUAUCCUGGGGGGUACUGGCACAGAGACCUAACCCCUACCAGGCUCCCACUAGAAGAAGCUUUCCUGUGGUGCCCAUGUGUUGCUGCGCUGGAUUCUGGGAGCUGGCACGACUUCCCUGCCUUUUUAAAUGUCUUCUCUGGAACUGAUUUGUCCCAAGGUGAACUCAGCGAAAGGAAUAUCACACUUAAGAGCUUUGCCCCUGAAUGGGCCAGGAAGGUGGAAAAACCACACACACUGUCCAUUUUCCCUUCUGCCCGUUGAGUUCUAAACAGCUGGAAAAAGUCCUAAGAGGUAGAGUCACUCAGCCCUUCGCGUGUCAGACGCUCGACUGCCUUGCUCUAUCCCCAAGCCAUCCAUCAUUUUCCCAACUCGGGUCCAAAUAUUGUUAGGGAAAAGAAAAAAAAAAAAAGCCCCUAGCUGUAUGCCCAAGUCACCUGUAAGAGGCUAGUGGCACACCAGGAACAUAGGUGCCUGAUGACAUGGAUCAUGUGACAAGCAGAGUCCUAUUACUGAUACGUAACAGCAUCUGGGGGCUCUGCUAGUGAUAGACAACAGGGAUUCCCAUAGGAUAGAAACUCAUGCUUCCUGUGCAUAGGAAUAUAUACCCAAUAGUCAAAAGCAGUUCC